rnacentral:rRNA from 1 species
GUGCCAGCAGCCGCGGUAAUACGUAGGUGGCAAGCGUUGUCCGGAAUUAUUGGGCGUAAAGCGCGCGCAGGCGGCUUCUUAAGUCUGAUGUGAAAUCUCGCGGCUCAACCGUGAGCGGUCAUUGGAAACUGGGGAGCUUGAGUACAGAAGAGGAGAGCGGAAUUCCACGUGUAGCGGUGAAAUGCGUAGAGAUGUGGAGGAACACCAGUGGCGAAGGCGGCUCUCUGGUCUGUAACUGACGCUGAGGCGCGAAAGCGUGGGUAGCGAACAGGAUUAGAAACCCUUGUAGUCC